CGGAAAGCCGGUGGCAGCGGUGGCGGGCUCAGCCGGGCAGAGGUGGCUGUGAGCCAGCCGAAGCUGGGCCCAGACAACCUAACGGGGAGGGAGCGCGGAGCCGGCGAGCAGCUCAGGGGCCAUGUCCUGCCGGACGCAGCUAGACCGGGGUGGUCGCAGGGUGCGCCUCCGAGCGUCCCCGCACUGCGGCCUUGUCCCCCCCCACACCCGCACCGGGUCCCCCGCCUCUCGCAGCCCCUCCGCUCCCGAGCGACCGCCCCCAGCUCCGCCCGCCGCCGUUCAGCCCCUCGCGGUAACGGUCGGUAGCGGCCCGCGCGCGCCGCCCGCCGGGGGCUCGCGUUGGCCACGAGGGAGCGUCCUCGGCCCGCGCUCCCGCGACGCGGAGGAGAGAUCACGAUUUCCUGGAAGUCGGCUGUCUAUCAGUGCGUACGUGAGACGUAAUCUGUGCAGGUGGUAAGUGUGAUGCUUCCAUGAUACAAUUGGAUGUUUUCUGCUAAGUUGACUUCCGAACUGUGGGGUUCCUCCAAAUGCUGGCUGAACUUGUCCUUGCACAUCCCCAGGCUCAUCUGCAAGUCUGAUGGACACGGGGUUUCAUAGAUGACCAAGAGCUGAAGCAUUACAACAAGUUAGAAAAUGCACGACAGAAAUGUACAGAAAUGUUAAGGAACUCUGCAGUUCAUGACGGGUCUACUGUACUGGCUAUUGGAAGGAGGAGAUUCUGAAAUAGGGAGGUGUCAUCUGCCUACAAGGGGAACCUUCAGGCCAGUGAGCAAACACGCAGACCAAGACCGGAACACACCUGCCCGUGAGCUGGGGGAGGAAGCAGUACGAAGUCUAUUUGCCAAACCUCAAGUCAUCCGUUAGGCGAUGAAAUACGUCCGGGAGUGUGCAGACAGGUUUUCCGGGGUUCGAGUUGUACUUCGGACAAGUGGGACGAGUGAGCCGAGGAGCAGAGGCGGAAGCCAAGAAUUGUGGGCAACCACCGGAUGCUGAACCAGACGAGAGGCAGUCUCUUCUGCAGCCCCAGAAAGAACCAAGCCCUGCUGACACCCUGAUUUUUGCCCUGUGAGGACCAAUUUGGGCUUCUGACCUCCAGAACUGUAAGCUAGGACCUCCGGUGCACCGCUGAGCGGAAGUGGACGGAGCGGCGUCUUUCUCCAGGGUGUGGGAGCAUUCGAUGGUCCACCAUCAACACGGACAUGAACCCGCGGGGUUUGACAUGCGCAUUCUGAGGCUGACAGAAUGCCCUUUCCUGGUCUUUUCAGACAUUUUUCAUUAGCGGGUGUGAAAUAUUGCCCAAAAUGCUUUUGUAUCACUUGAGAUGUUAUUGUUUCCUCUUUGAUUCUGUUAAUGUGAUGAAUUACGAAUAUUAAUUUUCUAAUGUGAAACCCAUCCUACAAUCCUGGCAUAAGCCCUGUUUAUAAAUACCCUGAAUCCUUUUCAUAUGAUACCAAACUUAGAGUUUCAACAUUUUAGUGAGGGCUUUAUGUUUAUUUGCACAAGAUAUCGGUCAAUGAUUUUUUCUUCUUGUGAUGUCUUUGUCGGGUUUGCCACCAGCCUCAUGCCAGCCUUGUUAAAUCACUUAGAAAGUACUUCCUUUGUGUUUCUCAAAGAGUUUGUGUAAACGCUGAUUCUGGGGUUUUUGUGAAAACUUUGAUAAAAUUUAUGAGGAGAGCCACCUGUACCUGGGCUUUUCUUUGUUGUGAGAUUUUUAAUUACGAAUUCAAUUUUAAAAAUACAUAUGAAGGCAUUCAAAGGUUUCUAUUUCUUCAUGGGUAAUUUUGGUAAGAUGUGCUUUUCAAGGAAUUUGUUCAUUUGCUCUAAACUGUUGAAUUUAUAGGCACAAAAUCAUGAAUGUUUUUGUCUUUGGGGGAAAUUAUGUAACAGCCCUCUAUCACUGGUGAUAUUUUUUUGUCUGAAGUCUACUUUGAUUUUAAAAAAGCGUUUUCAGCUUUCUUUUGAGUAUUGUCUGUGUGGUGUAUCUUUUUCUUACUUUUAUUUUUACCCAGUCUAUGUUUUUUAUUUAAAGUGGUAUUUCUGUAGGUUGCAUAUAGUUUGGUCUGGCUUUUUAUCUAAUCUAACGAUCUAUGUUUGAUUUAGUAUGGUUUAUAUUUAAUGUGAUUAUUGAUAUGGUUGAAUUAAAAUCUACCAUCUAACCAGCUGUUUUCUAUUUGCCUUUUUUUCUGAUUAAUUGAAAAUAUUUUAUGAUUUAAUGUUAUUUCCACUGUGGAAUUAUCAUGUAUUCAUUCCUCUUUUGAAAAAAUGUAGUAGUUACAUUAAGACUUACUAUACAUACCUUAUUUAAUCCAAGUCUACUUUUAAAUAAUAUUCUGUUCCAUGUCUAGUACAAGGACCACGACGUGUCCCCAGUUCUCCUUCCCACUCUUGUUCUGCUGUUGCUACAUAUUUACUCUUACAUUGGCUGUAAAAACACAAUA